rnacentral:lncRNA from 10 species
CUUUGAACACCCUCCAUUCUUACAUGAGCUUAUACUCUGCUGGCAUAGAGGUCUUAGUACCAAAGGCAGGAAUGCUUCCACCAGGAAACAUAAUAAUGAUUCCAUUGACCUGGGAGAUAAGACCACCACUCAGCUACUUUGGGCUCCUCAGGCCUCUAAACAUCACGUAAGAAGGGAGGGACUGUGCUGGCUGGGGUGAUUGAUGCUGGCUGCCAAGGCGAUUUUGGACUGCCAUUCCACAAUGGAUGUAAGGAACAGUACGUCUGGAAUACAGGAGAUCCUUUAAGGCAUCUCUUAGUCAUGCCCUGUGAUUAAAGUCAAUGGAAAACUACAACAGCCCACUCCAAACAGGACCACUAAUGGCCUAGACCUUUCAAGAAUGAAGAUUUGGCGCAUCCUACCAGGCAAAGAACCACAACAAGCUGAGGUAAUUGCUGAGGGAAAAGGGAAUAUAGGUAGCCAUAAAUACCAGCUACAGUCAAGUGACCAGUUAUAGAGACAGGGACUCUAAUUGUCCUGAGUAUUUCUUCCUGAUUUUGUUAUGAAUGUGUGUGUUUUCCUCUCUUACCUGCUUAUCGUGUAACAUAAGCUGUAUUGACUUUGUAUCAUAGUAUUUAAGUAUUGUUACCUUUCUGUCAUAUACUUAAGCUACAGGAUCUCAAGGUGAAGAAGAAAGAUCAUUCAUGGACUUUGCCUCCUCUUCUGGGGAAAGGGUUAGUGGGUUUUUGGCUGUACACAGGAUAGUUCUAUCACGUUAGGCAGAGCUAUAACCUUAUGAUUGUCUUUACUUGAAGAUUAAGUACAGUUUAGGGAGAUGUGUGUGGGUGCCCAGUUGACAGGAGUGGACUUGGGAUGGUUAAUUUUAUGGGUCAAUUUGGUGGUCCAUGGUGCCCAGAUAUUUGUUCAAACAUUAUUCUGGAUGUUUCUGUGAGGGUGUUUUUGGAGGAGCUUUACUAUUAAAUCAGUGGACUUUGAGUGAAGCAUAUUGCCCUCCAUAUGAGGCUUCUGCAGUUAGUGGAAGGCCUGAAUAGAACACAAAGAUGACCUCCCCUGAGCAAGAGAAACCCCGCCUGCAGACAGCCUUUGAACUUCCUCCGCAUCAUCGCUUUUCCUGGUUCACCGGCAGACAGCCUUUGGACUUGAACUGUGACUCUUUCCUGGACCUCCUCCAUUAGAUUUGGAGAUUUUAGAUGUGCCAAGCCUCCACCGUGAUGUGAACCAAUUGUUCUCUCGUGUGUGUGUGAAUCCUUUUGGUUCCGUGUCUCUGGAGAACCCUGCCUAAUACACUUGCCUAAGAUUAUAUAGAUGAUAAACAGUAGAAUUGGCUUUAAAUCCUGCAGUUUGGUGCCAGAAUCCACACUCUUGAUGUAUACCAUUCUGUUAGCCUUUAUCACUGUAAUAGGUAAUGUCCAUUUGAGUCCAAUAGUGAUAGCUUUUUCCCAUGUCUUCAUAUGAACUGAUCAUAUUGGUUAAGGGGAUUCCAAGUGGCUAAGAAGCUAGCUAUUAGAAUAAAAAACUCCAAAUGUCAAAGGCUAAUCACAAUAGAAGCUUACUUCUUACAUAUUCGUCAGUUUGAUAGAGGUAAUCUUGGUUGCUAGGCUACUUCCUCCACACAGUCAUUCAGGGACUCAGGCUGCUAUAGGCUCCGCCUCCCUCAACAUGUAGCUUCUAAGAUCACCCUGGGCUUUGAUUCCACUCUAGCCAGACAGAAGGGGAAAGGAGAAUGGUAGAUUAGGCAUGGAAAGUUUUUAUACUUACUACUGCUAAGGAAUUUGUUUGUUUGAUUUAAAAGGAAAGCAGUUUAAAUUGUUUUAUUCUGAAAUUAUUUUGUGUGUAUAUGUAGGUAUGCAUGUAAAGUUUCCAAUCUCUCCUUCAUUUUAUUUCAAACUCCUUAAAUUAACAGGGUAUAAACAGAGAGGCAGGUGUAUUUCUUCAGGAAUCAACCAAAUUGACUGGAAGAGCUGUUUUACAUAGAGGAUAUUGAGAGAGAAGAUUGGAGAUAAAGUCGAAGCCAGAUUGUGGAAGGCCUUGAAAUGCUUGGCCAAAGGGCUUGGACCUUAUCCUCUGAGAGAUCUCAGGUUCUCUCUCUCUCCUCAACUAACUGCCCUUAUUCUCUACACCAGCGAAUCACAGCCUACAUUCACCACCACGUGACGUGGUAAUAUUUAACUUGUCCUUUGUUUAUUUCCUUUCUUACCCCACACCCAUCACCUGGAUAAACUGUAUGCAUCUCAACAGCAAGAACAAUGACUUAUAUUUUUCUCAAUGCUGCACAAGCCUAGGAGAGGGUCUCAUAUGUAAUGUUUAACGACUACAUUCUGUUGACAUGCAAGAGGUAUAUGUCCCUACACCUUCAAACGCCCUACAAAUUGUUGAAUAUAACAAUAGCAUAUCAUUUCCUCCCCAAAUCUGGUAUAUUUUGACUGAAAAAUGUGAAUAAUAUCUUGAAGCUUCUAAUGCCUUUAUAAGCUACCACAUUCUGAUCAGAGUUCUUGG